UUGAUGAACUCUGGAGCACUUUGUGCUAAUUGAAGUGAACUGCAUAACUCAGCUGUUGAGUGCCUAACUCAGUGCUUUGAACUCACAGAAGGAGAAGGAGUGGUUGAACUGGUGACAUUUUAGAUACAUACUUCGUACCACAGUACAGUACUUGACCAGUUCAGCUACAUUCUUCACAAGGGAGAAUAUAGCAUGCUUUCAAAAAAUCUAUCUUAAAACAUCCUGAGCUUGCAAUGAGAACUACAUGUCUUCAACAAAUAAUAAGUACCAAAGAACUCUACCUCCUUGUGUCAGGGCAGGAGCACUGUCAGGCAUGUCUUUGGCAGACAAGACAACAUAGAUGAGGUUUCAACAAAUAAUCAGAAAUAUGCAGAAUGCCAAGAAAAUCUGCUUUACUGCUGAAGACAACAAACGGGAUAAAUGACAGACAGUUAUGUAACUUUCCUCUUCUGCAAAACAAACAAAAGCUGACCAUUUCCAUUAAGCAAUGCCUGGGUCUCUGGGACUUCCUGCACAAAAUGUGGAUGGAGCAAAUAGUACGUACAAAACAAAGGUUUCUUGUAACUCAUUG
rnacentral:lncRNA from 1 species